rnacentral:tRNA from 1 species
CGGGGCGUAGCUCAGUUUGGCUAGAGCGCUACCUUGGGGUGGUAGAGGUCGCAGGUUCAAGUCCUGUCGCUCCGACCA